rnacentral:rRNA from 1 species
UACGUAGGGUCCGAGCGUUGUCCGGAAUUACUGGGCGUAAAGAGCUCGUAGGUGGUUUGUCGCGUUGUUCGUGAAAACUCACAGCUCAACUGUGGGCGUGCGGGCGAUACGGGCAGACUAGAGUACUGCAGGGGAGACUGGAAUUCCUGGUGUAGCGGUGGAAUGCGCAGAUAUCAGGAGGAACACCGACGGCGCAGGCAGGGCCCUGGGUGUGAUAGCUGACACUGAGGCACGAAAGCUGGGGGAGCAAACAGG